AUGGCAAAGUUUGAGAUGAAAAAAUUUAUUUCAAUUUUUCUUAUGUUGUUAUUAGUUGUGGCACAAGCUAACGAUAAUUCUCAACGUUCAUCAAACCCUAAAAGUUCAAUUGUAUAUGCAGGUUGUGUUGCUGCAUGUGAAUUAUUGAAAUGUCAUAAGAUAAUGUCCAAAGUUGUUCAUAAUUGUGCAACUAAUUGUUCUAUUUCAAAAUCCAUGAAAGGCAAAAUUGAUGUUGGUGGUGUUAAUGAUAUCGUGAGUUCAUGUUUAAAAGCUUGUAUAAAAAAAUAA